AUUUAUUGACAUGUAUCUUUAUUUAUAAGUUAAACGUGUAACUCGAUUAUAAUACCAAGUUUGUAGUGCUAAUUUAAUAUAAAAUAUUUUCGAAUCAGUGGCUUCACGAUGGCUACUACAGCGGAUAUUGAAAUUUCUAGGAAAUUAUCCAUACUGUCAGUUCUAAGUGAUAAAUUUGCAGAAGAACGAAAAGUAUCUCAUAAACAUGACAAUGAAAAAGGACCAAAAGAUUUUAUGUUUGCGGUACACAUCGCCUGUUUUUUUGUUGGAUUUAUGAAUGUUAUGCCACUGGUAUUUUUUAGUACAGCAAAUUCUUAUUGGAUGUACAAAUUUAGAAAUGUAACGCAAGGAGAUGAAAUAACAGAAGGACAAGAUCGAACUAGAUUGCAGGUAUAUUUCCAGCCUGCACUCAUGGCUGGUGGUACAAUACCAAUGGUAAUGUGUACAUUACUGUGGACAUUUUAUGGUCACAAGAUAGCAUCCAUGUUAAGAAGUCUGGUUGCGUUAGUGUUACUUGGUUUAGUGUUUGCCAUAUUUGCAAUAUUCACUCAAAUUAACACAGAUUCAUGGCAAACUGGAUUUUUUGCGUUAACUGUAAUUUUGUUAAUGUUAAAUAGUGCUGGACUAGCAACGUUUCAAAUGUCAUCAGUUAUAUUAAUUGCUAAAUUACCUCCAAGCUAUAUGUUCUGCUAUCUUAUUGGUCAAAAUGGAACAGUUCUGACUACCAGCUUACAGCUCGUUGCGGUGGCUGUUACCAACAACAGCAUCACAUCCGGAUUAAUUUAUUUUACUGCAGGAACCACGCUUAUAACAAUCUCGUUAAUAUUUGUUAUGAUUGCGAGAAGAUCACACGUUUUUAGAUAUUACGAGGUUGAAAAUAUAAAAGAUAAACAGGCUGAACACAUCAAUUUUGGCGAAAUGAAAAAGCUGAUAGUGCAAUUUUGGCCUGUCCUGGUAGUUAUUGGAAUUACGUUCUUCAUGUCUAGUUUCGUCCAUCCGUCGAUCACAACCUUAGUGGAAUCUGAAUAUGCAUACGAAAAGACUGUAUGGACACAAAAAUUUUUUACACCAGCGCUUGUUUUUCUACUAGCAGAAGUUUCAUCCAUAGUAGGAAGAGUAUUAUCUCACAGAUUUUCAAUUACGGUUUUAGACCAGCGACACUCAACCUUUUUCUUUCCUGAGCCACAUAGUAGCUAUUGCCACAGCUUGCGAGCCGCAAUCAAGAUGAAGUAGUAUACAGAGUGUUUAGUUGGGAAACGGAAAUACUUCAAUGGUGAAUAGAGCAUUCAAAUAAAUGGUGGUACAUACUGUUCUUGUUGGUAAGACUGAGUUUCACACCGUUUUACUUGUUCUGUAAUGCACAACC
rnacentral:misc_RNA from 1 species